UUUACCCUGAAUAACUGAGUAUAAAGCUAACCUUUGGAACAUUUUAUCUACUCCAGAAGCCUCCACUCACCCACCGCCUACUGUUUCAUGAUCUCAGCUCAUCCAUCCCAAUUGAUCUCCAUCAAAACUUGGUGAGGGUCUGGAUUCGAAUUCUGUAAUUGGAUUCAAUCUCUAAGAGCUUUUGCUGGACUUGCACAGAGUGAGAAGCAAAGAGGGAGGGGACUUUUCCCUGCCAAUCAGAAGAAAAAAAAAAAAAAAAUUUGCUGAGGAAAAGUUUAAAGAGGAGGAAGGGAUGUCUUGGUCGAUUUCAGUCUGUUCCCAAUUUUGGAAUUUCCAUUUCACAUUCAAAGUUUCAAUCUUUAAAGGCAAUAGAAGAUAUGAAUUUUGCAGGCAAUGGAAGUCUCGCUUUAUAUAUAAAGAUUAAAGCCAAAGCAGCCGCCGAGACCUCUCCAUUUCCAUUGCUUCAGUCUCCCCAAGCUAAAGACUCCCCCUCUGAGAUGGACGUAGCAAUGACUUACAAGGGUAUGGAGACCGAAGGGUUGAACACUGAUAAAUAUGAUGGGCUUCAUUGAGUUUCUUAAAGCUGCAAUCCAUGAAAUCUCUCUCUACUUGCUCAAUUGUAAUAUGAUGUACAUCAUAUUUUUAUGUAUACAAGCUAUGCUCUCAGUCUUAGGUCCAAGCAAGUAAUUAUUCCAUUAUGUAGUGGUUGGUGGUUGAUUUUAGUUUAAUCUUGAACUAUAUCUUUGCUCAAAAUUAUCAUCCUAAAAAAUAAAAUAAAAAACCCGCACCAUCGCAUGGGAGAAUUAGCCCCGCAGCAAAGCGCGGGCAACAUUGCUAGU